rnacentral:rRNA from 1 species
CGAACGCUGGCGGCGUGCCUAAUACAUGCAAGUUGAGCGCUGAAGGUUGGUACUUGUACCAACUGGAUGAGCAGCGAACGGGUGAGUAACGCGUGGGGAAUCUGCCUUUGAGCGGGGGACAACAUUUGGAAACGAAUGCUAAUACCGCAUAAAAACUUUAAACACAAGUUUUAAGUUUGAAAGAUGCAAUUGCAUCACUCAAAGAUGAUCCCGCGUUGUAUUAGCUAGUUGGUGAGGUAAAGGCUCACCAAGGCGAUGAUACAUAGCCGACCUGAGAGGGUGAUCGGCCACAUUGGGACUGAGACACGGCCCAAACUCCUACGGGAGGCAGCAGUAGGGAAUCUUCGGCAAUGGACGACAGUCUGACCGAGCAACGCCGCGUGAGUGAAGAAGGUUUUCGGAUCGUAAAACUCUGUUGGUAGAGAAGAACGUUGGUGAGAGUGGAAAGCUCAUCAAGUGACGGUAACUACACAGAAAGGGACGGCUAACUACGUG